rnacentral:lncRNA from 1 species
UUAGGGCGUGAGCGGUGAAAUUGAGGCUACUGGAACUCUUCUCUCCAGCGGGUCACCGUGGAAAAAGGGCAAACUUGUGUGGCCUAGGGCAGGGUAGACGCGUCGAGAACAAUGAACGCCAGAUAAAUGCCUCCUGAUUUUCUUCAGAGAAGCCUCAGUGUUUCAGGGAGAGAGGUCUUGGCUUUCCCUUGAAUGUCGUCUCUCUGCUUGGAAGAAACCAGAGUCAGCGACUAUGUUCUCC